UACGGAGGGUGCAAGCGUUAUCCGGAUUUACUGGGUUUAAAGGGUGCGUAGGCGGGCCCUUAAGUCAGUGGUGAAAGCUCCGAGCUUAACUCGGAAACUGCCAUUGAUACUAUAGGUCUUGAAUUCGGUCGAGGUUGGCGGAAUGUGUCGUGUAGCGGUGAAAUGCUUAGAUAUGACACAGAACACCGAUUGCGAAGGCAGCUAGCUAGACCAACAUUGACGCUGAGGCACGAAAGCGUGGGGAUCAAACAGG
rnacentral:rRNA from 1 species